AAUCAGAACAGGGAGUUACGAUAAUUUGAAAUCUGUUUAAAGAAAGUUUUGAAACAACCAUAAUAUGUCUUUCCAAAGACAUGUACAUUGAUACGUUUUUCUAACAUAACAAAAUAGAAGUGUAAAUCGUACAAGACACUGUCCCCACAUAUUUUGAACCAUGACACGAAUCAAAAUCCUGUGCGCCAGCAUAAGCAUCCCUACUGGAUCUGGAUGCCUAUUUUGCAGCGGCAUAAGCAUCCCCAGAUGCAUGACCAAUGGCCGGUGGUCAAAUUGAAGUUGAUGCAGAACACAUAUUAAUAGCUGUCCUCAAAUAUAAUGAAGUCAAGCAGACAUGGCCUAAUAUUUGUUCAAAUGCCUUUCUCGCCUGAAACAUCAUGAUAAGAAUAGUAAGUAUUAUGGUUUUCUCUGGAACCAGGACAUACAGAAAAUUGUAGAUCGGCAUAAUGACCAUAAUCUUUUCUCUAGUAUCUCUUUCAAUUAAAUUCUUACGUACAUAAAAAGUAGAGUAUAUGUGAAAUAGAUCAUCAUGCCACACCUAUUUAAAUAUAUACUUGAUUGUAUAUUUAAAGGCUUCAGAAAUGCAGUUUCUGUAUAUCUAUAGUGCGAUAGAUUUAGCACUAUGAUGAUUAGAACGAAUAAUGAAAAUAAAUAGGAGUUACCAAAAUUUGUUAAACGUUUUACUAGAAAAUAUAUGCCAUUGUCACUAUAAUUUAUGACUUGCUAUCCUUGUGAAUUGACAACUGAUUUACAAGAAUUUAGCGCAUGAUUUACAAGAUUCAACCUUGCAUGUGAAUUACUAUAAUGCAUGCCUUCCUGUCCUUGUGAAUUUGACAUUAUGGUUUACGAUAACUUCAUACAUGAUUUACGGAAUCUAUGCUCUUGAAAUUUUAGAGUUGUGUAAUUUAACAUUGUCAAACCUGCCAUGGCAUAAAAUUGUUCAGAUGUUAUGAUCACUACAACAAUUCCCAAAUCUCCAUGCCUAACCAGAUCAGCAAAAAAACACUAAUAAAAGUUGAUCUACAGUGAAGCAAUAAUAUAUGGCAGUCAACUUAAAUGGACAAAAAAUCCAAACUACUCUGGCCAGCGAGGUAUUAAUUUUCAGUACCCACGAAAGUGAGAAAUAAAAAAAAUCUCUCUAUGAGAAAUACUACUACUACUUAGCAACAUAGGAUCCAUUGCUGGUGGACAAGUGAAGCUUACGACAAUUUCGUAAUCUCCUACAGAAUCAUGAUUGCAUUCCGAUCGCAUACAGUUUAAUUACUCACCAGCUCUGAUGAAAGAACCUAUUAGAAAUACAGAACCCAAAGCAUCUUGUGCUAUGCAAUAACAAUUUCUACUCAUCAAUCCAGCCAAAAUAUUAUGAUGAGCUAUAUCACGAUCAGAUAUGAAACAAAGGUGUUCGUUCAAACAAAAAAGAUCUAAAACAAAAUAAAUUUAUUAUAGGAUUAGUGCUAGUAUGGAGCGGCUCACCUGGAUAGGCUGCAUACAUUUUUCUUCACAACUGUUCGUCGGAAGCUUGGAGCAGUGCGGUUCGAGCCUUUGAGGUAUUCACGACGUAACUUACACAGGUAACAAAUGGGUAUUAUGAAUAUAAGUUUUUAUGGAAAUUUUCGACUAUGGUUGACGAUAAAAAUUAAUAAGGAUGAUCAAAAUUACCAUAAUGAAGAUAGGGAGCUACCAGAAUUUAGGGUCAUGGUAUUCUGAUGCUACUCAAAUCAGGAGCACAAUAGGCUGUUAAGUAAUUACAAUAAUUGGAAUCAAUAAUUUAGUUAGGGACUAGCCAAAAAUUUUCCUCAGAUGAUAUCGAUAUAUUACAAUAUAUUUAUGUCCUUUAUAUAUGAAUCACUAUAAUCUAUUCUGAUUAUACUAUAUUUGUUCUCUGUUCAUAAAUAAUACAAAAUCAAAGGAUCUGACAUUCAAAAUUUUGGUUUAAAAAAAACAGCCAGCUAACACAACCUAAAAUCAAUAGGAUCUACAAACCUUCACACUCUAGCUAAUGUGGCCAAUAGAUCUGUAAUAAUAAACAAUAUUUGAACCUACGGGAGUCACAAACAGCUACCACUACCAAAACCCAGAUGGCUAAUCGGACAAAUGGAAUUAACUAAGUGACUGAUGAAUAAUUAAUCAAGAAAUUACCAUAAGAAAUCGACGGUCUUCCUACACUCGUGACUCUGAUUCAGACAAAAAAUAUCAUAAAUACCUCUCUGAUUUACGACAAACAAAGUUACAAUAAUUAAGUAGCAUGAAUAGGAACAUGUAUUGUGCUUGAUCUAAAAUACGGUAUCAUUAGAAUAUUGGUUCUGGGACUAUUAAUAAAAUUGCUAAAACCAUGCACACUGAAAGAACUAACAGGGUUCCUGAAUCUGAAUACGAACCAAAAUUGUGUAAUCUGGUAAGGUUGAUUUUCAGAAAACAUGAGUAGAACAUGAACUCCAGAAUGGCACCGGAAGAGAGAACGGACGCUCCGUCGUCACCGGGGAAGAAGCUGCUGUGGAGCGCAGGGCGAGCCACACCGUCGCCUCAAGCCCCAUCCUCCACUGGUUGGGGAUGGGAAGCCACGCACGGCCAGGGGCCGCCGUGCCCGCCGGUUGGUCGUGCCGCCGCGCCCGUGGGGAGCAGAUCAGGGCGGGGAGGCGGAGGGCCGGCCACCGACGCCGCCAGGAAGGUGAAGGAGCCGCCGCCUCGCCGGGAAGGUGGAGGAGCCGCCGCUGCGACAGGGAGAGGUGCCCGGCCGGGGGAGGGCUACGCCAAGUGGGGUGGCGCUACGCCCACGGUGCCGAUUCGGCGGAUGAGAGGGGGGAGCUCCGGCGCCGAUGUGCUCGGUGGGUUGCGGGAGGACGCGGCGAGGUGUGGGGGAGAAAUCCCAAUGUGUUCGGGGGUGGGCAGAUGCGGGCGAGGUGUCGGUGUUGGAUUGUUGAGACCGGACAAAUCAACGUGAUUAAUUACUGGACUAGGUAGCGUACCCGUGCGUUGCGUACCCGUGCGUUGCUAUAU
rnacentral:lncRNA from 1 species